CUUCUUCACUUUACUCUACACAUAAACCAUUUAUUCCCUCUCAUUCUCACAAAGAAAGGGUCUGAAGCUCUCGUGAAGGCACGGUUCGAAGCUCUCUUCUUCUCGUAAACCAUUUCAGAGCUGUGAAGGGGCAGGACAUUAGCCAAGCACGAAGGGGCAGAAUCUCUCAUUCUCACAAAGGAAAGGGUUCGAAUCUCUCAUUCUCACAAAGGAUAGGGUCCGGAGUUCUCAUUCUCACAAAGGAAGGCAAUGGUUCGAAGCUCUCAUCAGAAAUUUCCCUCAUUCUCAUCAGUGCUGGUAGUAGUUUUUCCACUCCAAAAGCUUUGAUUAAGCUCCAUUUUCAUCUCGGUUAAGGUAGCAUAAUGUCUAGGAAAGGGAAAAGAAAAAUUGAGAGCAGCGAUAGUCACUCCACUACUGAAGAAUAUGAUGAUUCAUACUUGGAAGAUGAAUACGACGAUGAGGAGAUAUCCCCACUAGACCGUAAACAACAAGCAUUUUUUGAUUAUUUUGCACAAAUGUAUGCACCAUACAGACGGUCUCUCCAAC